rnacentral:misc_RNA from 1 species
CUUUGAAGCAAGUAUUAUCGAUCGAAGGCUGGCAAUGGCAUAUGUUCAGAAGCACACGUGAGGUGGAGGUGAUUGAUUCCAAUAGAGUUGAAGGGACCCCGUGGAUGGAAAUGGAAGUAGUAAUAAUAGGGAGAAUGGUGGUCCCAAAGCAGAGAGGGUGAAAGAAGCCCAAACCUAACAUUGAGGAGUUCCAGUAAAAGGGUGGUCCAUUUUGGCAUGAAAAAGUGGGACAGGAUAUCAGACAAAAACAAGCCCAGAUAAGUCGUGGUUGGUAUCUGAGUAGGGGUAGCUACAUUACCUUUAAUCAUUAUACCCAACUAUUUAUUUCCAUAGUCAAUGAACCAGUCACCUUCAUCCCCCAAAACCUCAGCAUUUCUGAAUUUGUUGGCCACCCGCACGUCCACAUAUUUUCUACCUUUCGUUUCUCUUCUCUUUGCCACAAGAAUCCAUAUCAUCACUACUAUUUCUUGAGCCUAAACCCUCAUCAAGUUAUUAUAAAAGGAUCACUGUUUCAUAGUAUGCCAUGUAUAUUCAGAUUUAUUAAUUGUUCUGAUGAUUCAAGAAAAUUAAGUAUGAGAUUCGUGUGUCUAUGAGUAUGUCAUUUAUUACACUUGUCUUUUCAUUUAAUCUAGAAUUAGUCUCUUAUAUUAUUAUUAUUAUUUCAGGUUGUAAAUAAUUAAUGAAGCUCGAAGUUUAUAAACUUAUAUUAUAUCUACACAAGUAGAGACAUGCAAUUAGUAGCUGGCCUGGAUAUCCUCAGUUUAUUUACUUUGAUCCUCCUUUUAAUUCAUUAUGUGUUCGCAUGCAUAUAUAAGUUGUAGAUCUUUCACUGUAUAUGAAAAAUUAGGUUUUUUCUGUUUUCUCUUCUCUACAGGCGUUUCAGUGAUGAUAAUUUAAACCCUAGGCCUUGAACAUGCAGCAGAGAGGAAUAUUUUGCAUCUGGACUGAUGAAUGAUGAGCAUUAAUUUCCCCAGUAUAUAAACGAUUAUUGGUAGGAAUCAUUUAAUGUCACUGAGAAAAGAUUAUAGGCAUGAAAGAAAAACCUAUACAACUGGCUUUAUAUAUACAACUUCAUGACAAUGCAUU